rnacentral:rRNA from 1 species
UACGUAGGAGGCAAGCGUUAUCCGGAAUGAUUGGGCGUAAAGCGUCCGCAGGCGGCACUUUAAGUCUGCUGUUAAAUACUAGGGCUUAACCCUGGAGCGGCAGUGGAAACUGAAGAGCUAGAGUUCGGUAGGGGUAGAGGGAAUUCCCAGUGUAGCGGUGAAAUGCGUAGAGAUUGGGAAGAACACCGGUGGCGAAAGCGCUCUGCUGGGCCGAAACUGACACUCAUGGACGAAAGCUAGGGGAGCGAAUGGG